AAAAUUUUAGAAUUCAUAAGUUUCGUAAAUUUUAACAGACUACAUUAACUAUUGAAAAUACUGAGAUCAAAAUAAGAUAAUAAAUGGGAUUAAAAAUUAUAGCUUAUUGUUUGAUAUUUCUUAUAGCUUUAUGUGUUGAAGAAGUGAAAGGAAUGAGAAUAACGAACGAUACAAUGUCUUCAAUGAUGGACGGAUUUUCUAUUGAUAUUUAUCGUGUGAUAUCAGAAGCUACUCAUUUAGUAACAAAAUUUUUGAGCAAAGUUGCUGAAAAUAAGAGAAUUGUAGGUAUUGAAGAUGAAUGGAACAUACCAAAUAAAAUUAAAAACAUUGUUGAUUGAAAG